AGCGAACGCUGGCGGCAGGCCUAACACAUGCAAGUCGAACGAACUCUUCGGAGUUAGUGGCGGACGGGUGAGUACCACGUGGGAACGUGCCUUUAGGUUCGGAAUAACUCAGGGAAACUUGUGCUAAUACCGAAUGUGCCCUUCGGGGGAAAGAUUUAUCGCCUUUAGAGCGGCCCGCGGCUGAUUAGCUAGUUGGUGAGGUAAAGGCUCACCAAGGCGACGAUCAGUAGCUGGUCUGAGAGGAUGAUCAGCCACAUUGGGACUGAGACACGGCCCAAACUCCUACGGGAGGCAGCAGUGGGGAAUCUUGCGCAAUGGGCGAAAGCCUGACGCAGCCAUGCCGCGUGAAUGAUGAAGGUCUUAGGAUUGUAAAAUUCUUUCACCGGGGACGAUAAUGACGGUACCCGGAGAAGAAGCCCCGGCUAACUUCGUG
rnacentral:rRNA from 1 species